UACGAAGGGUGCAAGCGUUACUCGGAAUUACUGGGCGUAAAGCGUGCGCAGGCGGUUUUGCAAGCCGGAUGUGAAAUCCCCGGGCUCAACCUGGGAAUGGCAUUCGGGACUGCAAGGCUGGAGUGCGGCAGAGGAGACUGGAAUUCCUGGUGUAGCAGUGAAAUGCGUAGAUAUCAGGAGGAAUACCGAUGGCGAAGGCAGGUCUCUGGGCUGACACUGACGCUCAUGCACGAAAGCGUGGGGAGCAAACAGG
rnacentral:rRNA from 1 species